rnacentral:rRNA from 1 species
AUUGAACGCUGGCGGCAGGCUUAACACAUGCAAGUCGAGCGGGGUGAUGGUGCUUGCACUAUCACUUAGCGGCGGACGGGUGAGUAAUGCUUAGGAAUCUGCCUAUUAGUGGGGGAUAACAGUUGGAAACGACUGCUAAUACCGCAUACGCCCUACGGGGGAAAGCAGGGGACCUUCGGGCCUUGCGCGAUUGGAUAUGCCCAGGUGGGAUUAGCUAGUUGGUGAGGUAAUGGCUCACCAAGGCGACGAUCCCUAGCUGGUCUGAGAGGAUGAUCAGCCACACUGGAACUGAGACACGGUCCAGACUCCUACGGGAGGCAGCAGUGGGGAAUAUUGCACAAUGGGGGAAACCCUGAUGCAGCCAUGCCGCGUGUGUGAAGAAGGCCUUAUGGUUGUAAAGCACUUUAAGCGAGGAGGAGGCUACUUUAGUUAAUACCUAGAGAUAGUGGACGUUACUCGCAGAAUAGGCACCGGCUAACUCUGUGCCAGCAGCCGCAGUAA